rnacentral:tRNA from 1 species
GCUCCAGUGGCGCAAUCGGUCAGCGUGAGGUACUUAUAAGACAGUGACCUGCAGAGUGAUGCAGAGGUUAUGAGUUCAAUCCUCACCUGGAGCA